rnacentral:rRNA from 1 species
UAGCAUAUCAAUAAGCGGAGGAAAAGAAACUAACAAGGAUUCCCCUAGUAACUGCGAGUGAAGCGGGAAAAGCUCAAAUUUAAAAUCUGGCAGUCUUUGGCUGUCCGAGUUGUAAUCUAGAGAAGUGUUAUCCGCGCUGGACCGUGUACAAGUCUCCUGGAAUGGAGCGUCAUAGAGGGUGAGAAUCCCGUCUUUGACACGGACUACCAGGGCUUUGUGAUGCGCUCUCAAAGAGUCGAGUUGUUUGGGAAUGCAGCUCAAAAUGGGUGGUAAAUUCCAUCUAAAGCUAAAUAUUGGCGAGAGACCGAUAGCGAACAAGUACCGUGAGGGAAAGAUGAAAAGAACUUUGGAAAGAGAGUUAAACAGUACGUGAAAUUGCUGAAAGGGAAACGCUUGAAGUCAGUCGCGUCGUCCAGGGAUCAACCUUGCUUUUGCUUGGUGCACUUUCUGGUUGACGGGUCAGCAUCAAUUUUGACCAUUGGAAAAAUAUCAAGGGAAUGUGACAUCUUUGGAUGUGUUAUAGCCCUUGGUUGUAUACGAUGGUUGGGAUUGAGGAACUCAGCACGCCGCAAGGCCGGGUUUUUAACCACGUACGUGCUUAGGAUGCUGGCAUAAUGGCUUUAAUCGACCCGUCUUGAAACACGGACCAAGGAGUCUAACAUGCCUGCGAGUGUUUGGGUGGAAAACUCGAGCGCGUAAUGAAAGUGAAAGUUGAGAUCCCUGUCGUGGGGAGCAUCGACGCCCGGACCAGACCUUUUGUGACGGUUCCGCGGUAGAGCAUGUAUGUUGGGACCCGAAAGAUGGUGAACUAUGCCUGAAUAGGGUGAAGCCAGAGGAAACUCUGGUGGAGGCUCGUAGCGAUUCUGACGUGCAAAUCGAUCGUCAAAUUUGGGUAUAGGGGCGAAAGACUAAUCGAUCCAU